GACGAACGCUGGCGGCGUGCUUAACACAUGCAAGUCGAACGGACAGGCGCUGCUUUUGUGGGGUUCUCGAGUGGCGCACGGGUGAGUAACACGCGAGUAACCCGCCCUUGUCUUUGGGAUAUCUUCAGGAAACUGGGGCUCAUACCGGAUAGGAGCUCUUGCUGCAUGGUGGUGGUUGGUAAGUUUCGGCCGUUGUGGCUAGUCUAGAAGCUUACCCGCUUGAUGGUGGGGUAGUGGCUUACCAAGGCUACGACGGGUAGGCGGCCUGGGAGGGUGACCAGCGACAUGGGGACUGAGAGAGGGCGCAGACGGCUACGGGAGGCAGCAGUCGAGAGUAUGGCACAAUGAGCGGAAGCGAGAGGCAGCAGCGCCGCGUGCGGGAUGACGGCCUUCGGGUUGUAAACCGCUUUCGCCUUUGACGAAGCGUGAGUGACGGUAAUGGGUAAAGAAGCACCGGCUAACUACGUG
rnacentral:rRNA from 1 species